GAAGCAGGCUGGGUGAUCGCCUCCGAAACUUCGGGGGAGGAAAGUCCGAGCUCCGGAGAGCAGCGUAGCGGCUAACAGCCGUCCACUGAAAGGUGAGGAUAUCCGGCUUCGUCAAAUACUUAUUGUGUUUGACUACGCCGGACCCGGCGAAGCUGAACGCGAAAGCAAUUCAGCGAAGCCGGGCAGAGCCACAGAGACGCAGUAAAUGCGCGGGAAAUCUCGCGCAUGGACGUGAAACGGGGCAAUCUCUACGCGGAGCAAGGCCAAACAGAUCCCGAUCGAGGAGUUGCUCGUUCCUACCGUUAUAUGUCGGUAUCGGGAAGGGUAGGCCGCAAUGAGGUUGACAGUGAUGUCAGCCCGAGAUAGAUGAUCAUCGUAUGGGGUUGGUUCGAAGAUCCUUCGGCGCCUCAUUCACAGAACUCGGCUUACGGGCCCGCUUCACCA
rnacentral:RNase_P_RNA from 1 species